rnacentral:rRNA from 1 species
AUUGAACGCUGGCGGCAUGCCUUACACAUGCAAGUCGAACGGCAGCACGGGAGCAAUCCUGGUGGCGAGUGGCGAACGGGUGAGUAAAGUAUCGGAACGUGCCCAGUCGUGGGGGAUAACGUAGCGAAAGUUACGCUAAUACCGCAUACGAUCUAUGGAUGAAAGCGGGGGAUCGCAAGACCUCGCGCGAUUGGAGCGGCCGAUAUCAGAUUAGGUAGUUGGUGGGGUAAAGGCCCACCAAGCCGACGAUCUGUAGCUGGUCUGAGAGGACGACCAGCCCCACGGGGACUGAGACACGGCCCAGACUCCUACGGGAGGCAGCAGUGGGGAAUUUUGGACAAUGGGCGAAAGCCUGAUCCAGCCAUGCCGCGUGCAGGAUGAAGGCCUUCGGGUUGUAAACUGCUUUUGUACGGAACGAAAAGGACUGCCCUAAUACGGUGGUCCCAUGACGGUACCGUAAGAAUAAGCACCGGCUAACUACGUGCCAGCAGCCGCCGCAGUAA